rnacentral:lncRNA from 1 species
GGCGUGGUUUAACUGGUAAGGCGUCGGCUGUGACUUUUCUGAGUCACUGGAAACACUUCUUCCAUCGGGUUGGAAAUGCCCUAAGACAUGCAUUCUUCAACAAAUGAAGCAUAUAAACAUGGUCUCUAAUCCACAAAGAAAUCCUGCCUGAGGCGGUGAGGCUGUGCCUGUGUCUGCAGUAACGUCUCCAGCUGUCAGGGAGCUGUGAACAGCCCGAUGUAGUCUUGGAAGACUGUUUUCCUUCAUAAGGCUUUACGACAUGAAGUCAAACUUGAGUAAGACAACCUCUCAUAAAUCCCUUCCCUAGGAAUUAUGAG